GAACUGCGAUAAGUAAUGUGAAUUGCAGAAUUCAGUGAAUCAUCGAGUCUUUGAACGCACAUUGCGCCCCCUGGCAUUCCGGGGGGCAUGCCUGUCCGAGCGUCAUUGCUGCCCUUCAAGCCCGGCUUGUGUGUUGGGUCGUCGUCCCCUCCGGGGGACGGGCCCGAAAGGCAGCGGCGGCACCGCGUCCGGUCCUCGAGCGUAUGGGGCUUUGUCACCCGCUCGAUAUGGACCGGCCGGGCGCCAGCCGGCGUCUCCAACCUUUUUUUCUCAGGUUGACCUCGGAUCAGGUAGGGAUACCCGCUGAACUUAAGC
rnacentral:misc_RNA from 1 species